rnacentral:rRNA from 1 species
UACGUAGGGUGCGAGCGUUGUCCGGAAUUAUUGGGCGUAAAGAGCUCGUAGGCGGUUUGUCGCGUCGACUGUGAAACCCCGAGGCUUAACCUCGGGCCUGCAGUCGAUACGGGCAGACUAGAGUUCGGUAGGGGAGACUGGAAUUCCUGGUGUAGCGGUGAAAUGCGCAGAUAUCAGGAGGAACACCGGUGGCGAAGGCGGGUCUCUGGGCCGAUACUGACGCUGAGGAGCGAAAGCGUGGGGAGCGAACAGG